CUCGGCUCGGCUCCGAUCCCGGAUCCCGGCCCCGCUUCCCCUGCUUUCCGUUCCGCCCCCGCUCCCGCACUCCGUUUGAAUGUUUCAAACUCGCGACGCCCCCACCAAUCAGCGCGCAGUUCCGCUCUCGCCAACCAAUCGGACACCGCCGAGAGCGCGGCUGCUACAGAAACGGCGGGUGGGCCCGGAAGAGGCGGGACGACGCAUGCGUAGAAGAUCCCCGCCCCCCCUUCCCCGUCACAGUGAGCCUUUAAAGGGACAGCCCCGCCCCGCCCGCCCUCCCGCCAGCAGGCGUGGAAACGGGCAGGUGGGACGAAGGGCUUCAGCUCCUCCAGCCGCAGGUCCACCGAGUCCCUGCGGGAGAGCGGGCAGGAGGUAGGCCUGCAGCAAGGCGAGACACGCGCUGUGCUUCUGCUGGGGCCUGCGGUGCCCACAAGGCAGCUCUACCACCCCGUCCCUGC